rfam:Myotis lucifugus cont2.72318, whole genome shotgun sequence.
GCCAAUUUGGCUCAGUGGAUAGAGUGUUGGCCUGUGGACAGAAGGGUCGCUGGUUCGAUUCCAGUCAAGGGCA